rnacentral:lncRNA from 1 species
GGUCUCCAUAUUUUUUCAUUGCUGUAUAACGUCCACAUAACGUUUUUAUUGCGAUAGGCCUAGACGUGAACAAAACGUUUUUGAUCAACGUUGUUUCAAUGCAUUAGAGAAUUCCUGCGUUAGAUGAUUCGGUCUUGUCAGUUAAUCAGUCGAAUAAUCAGGCUUGCCGAAUAUUCGCUGCGUCCUUUGAUCAGUCGACCCCGCCAGGAACGACUCCGCUCACCUGUUCGCGGGAAGCGCGCGGGCUUUAGGACCCUGGGUGCGCGAGUGUUUUCUCCAGCUGCUGCGGGUGAACGCUGGCGCUGAGGGAAGCUCGCGCGGAGAAUCUGCCCGAAAUCCUCCUGCCUUCAAUCCUGCGCGCGAUCGCGGAGCUGAACCGAGCGAGAUCCACAGGCACGCGCACGGUCGGUCGAGCGGGAGGUCUCCUUCUGCAUGCACGCUGCCCAGUGCUGGACGGCGCGCGGGGUCGGCUCGCGGCGGUGAGCUCUGUGCCGUAUCCAGACGCAAACCUAGUAAACACUCACCUGUCGACACGCCCUGAGGAAUGCUGUGUUGAAACAAACGCCUAUGCAGCAGAAGAAAGAUGUCUCUUCGCCAGAGGAAAAGAGUCCACAAAAGGUGGAGAAGAGUCCAAUAAAGGUGGAGAAGAGUCCACAAAAAGUGGAAAAGUGUCCAAACAAGGUGGAGAAGAGUCCAAUAAAGGUGGAGAAGAGUCAAAUCAAGGCAGAGAAGAGUCAACAAAAAUUGGAGAAGAUUCCACUGAAAGUGGAGAAAAGUCCAGUAAAGGUGGAGAACAGUCCACAGAAGGAGGAGAGCACAUGUUCGUCCCCUGAACCAGUGAGAAAGAUUCGCAAAGGGAAGAGCAGUGCCGUUAAAAAGGAGCGUCCCGUCCCAAACAAAUCUGGUUUUGAGAGCAGCCCAGUCGACAGUACCCAGUGUGACCAGCGUGAGGAGGACCCCAGCACCCUCAGCAGCCCUGUCCGCCCCAGCAAAGACUCGCAGGAGUCCCAGGUGGAGGCAUCUCCCCGGCUGAGACGGGGACGCCGGCGCACCGACGAAGCUCUGCUGAAAGACUGGAGCUUCGCUUCUCCACCCACUCCCCCUCCUCCCGAUCCCCCCGCCUCCCCAACCUCGCCCAGUCACACCGCGACGGUCACCCCCCUGCGCCGGCCGCGGGGACGCCCUCGCCUCAACCGCCGGCGCGACGAGAGCGACGCCAGCAAGGGCAGAGCUGCAGACGGAGGAGACUCGGCGUCGGCGAAGAAGAGGAAGCGCUGCAGGAACCGCAAGUACCAGAACGGAGAGUACAUCACCGAGAAGGACAAGCCGGCAGAGGGAGAGAAAGAGGAGAGGCUCGGGGAAGACGAGGAAAGUACAGGUAAAUAAAUACAAAUUUAAAGGUGAAUUAGUUGUGGUGGUAAUUCCAUUAUAAAGCCCCUUUACACAC